rnacentral:rRNA from 1 species
GCCUAACACAUGCAAGUCGAGCGGCAGCGCGAUAUGUAGCAAUACAUAUUGGCGGCGAGCGGCGGACGGGUGAGGAACACGUAGGAACCUACCCUCGAGUGGGGGAUAACCAAGGGAAACUUUGGCUAAUACCGCAUGAAUUCGAGAGAGCAAAGCUGCCGGAAGGUGGCGCUCGAGGAGGGGCCGGCGUCCGAUUAGCUAGUUGGUGAGGUAAGAGCUCACCAAGGCGAGGAUCGGUAACUGGUCUGAGAGGACGACCAGUCACACUGGGACUGAGACACGGCCCAGACUCCUACGGGAGGCAGCAGUGGGGAAUAUUGGACAAUGGGGGCAACCCUGAUCCAGCCAUGCCGCGUGAGUGAUGAAGGCCCUAGGGUUGUAAAGCUCUUUUGUCCGGGAAGAUAAUGACGGUACCGGAAGAAUAAGCCCCGGCUAACUUCGUGCCAGCCGCCGCCGUAAGAC